UAAGGAAUAUUGGUCAAUGGACGCAAGUCUGAACCAGCCAUGCCGCGUGAAGGAUUAAGGCCCUCUGGGUUGUAAACUUCUUUUAUAGGGGAAGAAAUGUGACGGUUCUCCGUCACUUGACGGUACCCUGGGAAUAAGCCCCGGCUAACUUCGUGCCAGCAGCCGCGGUAAUACGAAGGGGGCUAGCGUUGCUCGGAAUCACUGGGCGUAAAGGGUGCGUAGGCGGGUCUUUAAGUCAGGGGUGAAAUCCUGGAGCUCAACUCCAGAACUGCCUUUGAUACUGAGGAUCUUGAGGUCGGGAGAGGUGAGUGGAACUGCGAGUGUAGAGGUGAAAUUCGUAGAUAUUCGCAAGAACACCAGUGGCGAAGGCGGCUCACUGGCCCGAUACUGACGCUGAGGCACGAAAGCGUGGGGAG
rnacentral:rRNA from 1 species